rnacentral:rRNA from 1 species
GCGGGGGGGGGGGCUAACAUGCAGUCGAACGGUCUCUUCGGAGGUGGUGGCAGACGGGUGAGUAACGCGUGGGAAAUACCUUUCGGUACGGAACCUGGUUGGAAACGACUGCUAAUACCGUAUACGCCCUGAGGGGGAAAGAUUUAUCCCCGAGAGAUUGUGCCCGCGUUGGAUUUUCUAGUUGGUGGGGUAAUGGCCUACCAUGGCGACGAUCCAUAGCUGGUCUGAGAGGAUGAUCACCCACGCUGGGACUGAUACACGGCCCAGACUCCUACGGGAGGCAGAGAUGGGGAAUAUUGUCCAAUGGGCGCAAGCCUGAUCCAACCAUGCCGCGUGAGUGAUGAAGGCCUUAGGGUUGUAAAGCUCUUUCACCGGUGAAUAUAAUGACUGUAACCCUUUUAGAAGCCCCGACUAACUUCAUGCCAUCAGCCGCGAAAAUACGAAGGGGGCUAGCGUUGUUCGGAAUUACUGGGCGUAAAGCGCACGUAGGCUGACUUUUAUGUCGGGGGUGAAAUCCCCGGGCUCAACCUCUGACCUGCCUUUGAUACUGCCAAUCUUGACUCCCAGAGAGGUGAGGGGAACUCCCAGUGUAGAGGGGGAAUUCGGAGAUAUUAAUAACAGCACCAGUGGUGAAAGGGGCUCACUGCCUCGGUACUGACGCUGAGGUGCGAAAACCUGUGGAGCAAACAUGAUUAUAUACCCUGGAAGGCCGCGCCGAAACCAAUGGAACCUACCUGCCAGGUACCCUCCUAUUA